GUGGGGCUUAUGUUGGCCCCAUGUAUUCUGAUAUUCGAAUGACACAGGGUAAAUGAGUAUGGUCCCUGUGCAAGGACGACACACAGACUUGUGAAGCCUUCCAUCUGUUU
ensembl:snRNA U6 U6 spliceosomal RNA